CCCCUAGAUGUUCUGGGCCGCACGCGCGCUACACUGAACAGUUCAACAAGUCUUAACCUUGGCCGAUAGGUCUGGGUAAUCUUUGAACGCUGUUCGUGAUUGGGAUAGACCUUUGCAAUUAUGGGUCUUCAACGAGGAAUUCCUAGUAAACGCAAGUCAUCAGCUUGCAUUGAUUACGUCCCUGCCCAUUGUACACACCGCCCGUCGCACCUACCGAUUGAAUGGUCCGGUGAAAUCUCGGGACGGCGGCUUGGUCGCUUGCGUCCGACUGCUGAAACUUGAUUAAACCAUAUCAUUUAGAGGAAGGUGAAGUCGUAACA
rnacentral:rRNA from 1 species